GAUGAACGCUAGCGGCAGGCUUAAUACAUGCAAGGCGAGGGGGCAGCAAUGUCACCGUCGUACGGGUGCGUAACGCGUAUGCAACCUACCUUCAACUGGGGGAUAGCCCGGGGAAACCCGGAUUAAUACCGCUUAAUACAGGGGGCUCACAUGAGUCUAUUUGUUAAAGAUUUAUUGGUUGAAGAUGGGCAUGCGUUCGA
rnacentral:rRNA from 1 species